rnacentral:ncRNA from 1 species
AAGAAUUUGAGUUUGAUCCUGGCUCUGAGUGAACGCUGUCAGUGUACUUUAUACAUGCAAGUUUAAAAUAUUUGUUUAUUUAGCGACCGGGUGAGUAAAGAUUAAUAUUAUACCUUACAAUAAUAAUUAAAUGUUUACAUUAUAAAUGGUUGUAAGAUUAUAUUAAUAUAGGAUUAAAGAAUUGCUUUAAAAGUAACUUAAAGAUCCUUAAGCAUCCUUAGUAGGGUAAUGUUCACAUUGGAAAUGAAAGACGAUCCAGACUAUUUAUUAGGCAGCAGUAAGGAAUACUGGACAAUGGGUAAAUACCUGAUCCGGUGACACUGAAUAGAAAAAAAGAAUAAAUAAUGAUUAUUUUUCUAAUUAGUCCUGACUAAUACUUGUGCCAGCAGUCGCGGUAAGACAAGAAGGGCGAGCGUUAUUCAUCAUUAAUGGGCGUAAAAUGCUUCAAGAUGUUAUAUUUUAUAAUUGAGUAUAUGAGAGGUCUAAGGAAUGCGUAAUGUAAAGAUAAAAUUUGUAAAUAUUACGUGGAAGGCCAAUGGCGAAAGCAUUAGGCUUUUGUAUACUGACAUUGUAGAGCGAAGGUAUAGGUAUCAAAUAGGAUUAGAGACCCUAGUAGUCUAUACAAUAAACUAUGAGUAUUAAAAGUAAAGUUUUUAUAUUUUAUUUUAAAGCUAACGCGUUAAAUACUUUGCCUGGGGACUACGAUCGCAAGAUUGAAACUUAAAGGAUUUGGCGGGAAUAUGCCCCAGCGGUGGAGCAUGUGGUUUAAUCCGAUACUACGCGUAAAACCUUACCAGAAAAAGAGCUUUUUUGCUUUCCUUUGAAUUUUACAAAAGUAAAACAGGUGUUGCAUGGCUGUCGUCAGGGUCAUUAUCAAUAAUGAUCCGAAAUCUUAGAAUUAUAUUUUUCUUAAGAUCACUGGCAAGUCGUUAUGACCCUUAUAGGCUGGGCUACACACGUGCUACAAGGGUUUUUACAGUAUAUUUAUUGAGUAAUCAAUUUUUUUAAAAAAAAUCUAAGUUCAGAUUAAUGAUUGAAACUCAUCAUUAUGAAGUAGGAAUCGCUAGUAAUCAUUAAAUAUUUUGUUAUGGUGAAUAUAACUUCAUAUUCUGCACACACCGCCCGUCACGGCCUGAAAGUAAAGUGGCUUUAAUGUUUUAAUUAAUUUAUAUAAAAUUAUUUUAUAUGGGUAUUAAUUCGGGUAGCUAUCUUAUGAUUAGGACGAAGUCGUAACAAGGUAACUGUAGGGGAACCUGCAGUUGGAAUUUUAUUACA